UUCCGCAAUGGACGAAAGUCUGACGGAGCAACGCCGCGUGAGUGAUGACGACCUUCGGGUUGUAAAGCUCUGUUAAUCGGGACGAAAGGCCUUCUUGCGAACAGUUAGAAGGAUUGACGGUACCGGAAUAGAAAGCCACGGCUAACUACGUGCCAGCAGCCGCGGUAAUACGUAGGUGGCAAGCGUUGUCCGGAAUUAUUGGGCGUAAAGCGCGCGCAGGCGGAUCAGUCAGUCUGUCUUAAAAGUUCGGGGCUUAACCCCGUGAUGGGAUGGAAACUGCUGAUCUAGAGUAUCGGAGAGGAAAGUGGAAUUCCUAGUGUAGCGGUGAAAUGCGUAGAUAUUAGGAAGAACACCAGUGGCGAAGGCGACUUUCUGGACGAAAACUGACGCUGAGGCGCGAAAGCCAGGGGAGCGAACGGGAUUAGAUACCCCGGUAGUCCUGGCCGUAAACGAUGGGUACUCGGUGUAGGAUGUAUCGACCCCUUCUGUGCCGGAGUUAACGCAAUAAGUACUCCGCCUGGGGAGUACGACCGCAAGGUUGAAACUCAAAGGAAUUGACGGGGGCCCGCACAAGCGGUGGAGUAUGUGGUUUAAUUCGA
rnacentral:rRNA from 1 species